rnacentral:rRNA from 1 species
CAGGACGAACGCUGGCGGCGUGCUUAACACAUGCAAGUCGAGCGAUGAAGCUUCUCGGAAGUGGAUUAGCGGCGGACGGGUGAGUAACACGUGGGUAACCUGCCUCAUAGAGGGGAAUAGCCUUCCGAAAGGAAGAUUAAUACCGCAUAAGAUUGUAAUAUCGCAUGAUAUAGCAAUUAAAGGAGUAAUCCGCUAUGAGAUGGACCCGCGUCGCAUUAGCUAGUUGGUGAGGUAACGGCUCACCAAGGCGACGAUGCGUAGCCGACCUGAGAGGGUGAUCGGCCACACUGGGACUGAGACACGGCCCAGACUCCUACGGGAGGCAGCAGUGGGGAAUAUUGCACAAUGGGGGAAACCCUGAUGCAGACCAACGCCGCGUGAGUGAUGACGGUCUUCGGAUUGUAAAGCUCUGUCUUCAGGGACGAUAAUGACGGUACCUGAGGAGGAAGCCACGGCUAACUACGUGCCAGCCGCAGC